rnacentral:lncRNA from 1 species
UUUUGGCUAUUCAAAGUUUUCCUUUCUGAAGCUCUCCAGAAGCUUCUCUCAAACCGACUCAUCUUCUUCUUCAAUCUUCAUCUUGAUUCUUCCAUGUUUUCAUGGUAUCAAAGCAGGACGAGAUCCGACAAUUCUCUGCUAUAUCUUGUUAUCCCUGUCGAAAUCGCGUUGGAACAUUUUCGGGUAUUUGUGAGAUAUUUGGUCAGUGAUGAUUUCGAUGAAGAUCGUGUGUGGAUCUAAGACCUCUAUCACCAUUAACUGGUUGCAUCUUCACUACUUGGACGUUUUGGGUUGGCUUUCCGACGUCCUCGACUCGAUUCCGGUGAGACUUCAGUUUUUAGGGUUUCUGCUGCUCGGAACUAGCUUUUUUUUUGUUAAUCGAAGGUCGAUCUUCUCCGGUCGCGAAGAAGGAGGGUAAAUCUGUUCCUGUUUUAGGUGCUGUAUGAUUUGCAUGAGGUUUUUGAUACAACUGUAGUUUUUCAAACUGAUUACAUAGAUUAUCUUUUGAUUUUAAACUCAUUGUUCUUCAUGGCUGCUAAUAUGAGUGCUAAUACAACCCCUGUUGACCCUACCAGUCCCUUUUUUGUUUACUCCUCUGAUGUUCCUGGUGUUUCUCUUGUGU